rnacentral:rRNA from 1 species
CCGAAUUCGUCGACAACAGAGUUUGAUCCUGGCUCAGGACGAACGCUGGCGGCGUGCCUAAUACAUGCAAGUCGAGCGGAACCAUUGGAGCUUGCUCCUUUGGUUUAGCGGCGGACGGGUGAGUAACACGUGGGCAACCUGCCCUGCAGAUCGGGAUAACUCCGGGAAACCGGUGCUAAUACCGAAUAGUUUGCGGCCUCUCAUGAGGCUGUACGGAAAGACGGUUUCGGCUGUCACUGCAGGAUGGGCCCGCGGCGCAUUAGCUAGUUGGUGGGGUAACGGCCCACCAAGGCGACGAUGCGUAGCCGACCUGAGAGGGUGAUCGGCCACACUGGGACUGAGACACGGCCCAGACUCCUACGGGGGGCAGCAGUAGGGAAUCUUCCGCAAUGGACGAAAGUCUGACGGAGCAACGCCGCGUGAGUGAAGAAGGUUUUCGGAUCGUAAAACUCUGUUGUGAGGGAAGAACAAGUACCAAGUAACUACUGGUACCUUGACGGUACCUCACCAGAAAGCCACGGCUAACUACGUGCCAGCAGCCGCGGUAAUACGUAGGUGGCAAGCGUUGUCCGGAAUUAUUGGGCGUAAAGCGCGCGCAGGCGGUCCUUUAAGUCUGAUGUGAAAGCCCACGGCUCAACCGUGGAGGGUCAUUGGAAACUGGGGGACUUGAGUGCAGAAGAGGAAAGUGGAAUUCCACGUGU